CCUACGGGAGGCUGCAGUGGGGAAUAUUGGACAAUGGGCGAAAGCCUGAUCCAGCCAUGCCGCGUGUGUGAAGAAGGCCUUCGGGUUGUAAAGCACUUUCAGUGGGGAAGAAAGCCUUGGGGCUAAUACCCUCGAGGAAGGACAUCACCCACAGAAGAAGCACCGGCUAACUCCGUGCCAGCAGCCGCGGUAAUACGGAGGGUGCGAGCGUUAAUCGGAAUUACUGGGCGUAAAGCGCGCGUAGGCGGUCUGAUAAGCCGGUUGUGAAAGCCCCGGGCUCAACCUGGGAACGGCAUCCGGAACUGUCAGGCUAGAGUGCAGGAGAGGAAGGUAGAAUUCCCGGUGUAGCGGUGAAAUGCGUAGAAAUCGGGAGGAAUACCAGUGGCGAAGGCGGCCUUCUGGACUGACACUGACGCUGAGGUGCGAAAGCGUGGGUAGCAAACAGGAUUAGAUACCCUAGUAGUC
rnacentral:rRNA from 1 species